AGCAGGUAGAGAGAAAGCCGGCUAUUCCUGUUUUGUCUAGGGAAGACUUCCCAGAACUGAUUAACUCAUGAAGUUGGCGAGACUAUCACAUAUUUUAAAAGACAAACCAAAGAACUGUGAAACACCUGUUGAAUUAUUUUGGAGUAAAACUCAUGAUGUCUAUAACAUAUUUUCAAAUGAUCCAGCCAAAAUAUGCAUAGAGAAAGGCAAUAUGUAAAAAUGUCAGCAACUGUUGUGUCUAAGAGGUAGGUGUACAGGUGUAUAUUGCACUGUUUUUCAACUUUUCUGUAUGUUUGAAAUUUUUCACAAUAGAAUGCUGAGGAAAAAAUCCAAAAGAGACAUAUGGUUGUUGUAGACAAUUUUCAGGAAACAGAAAAAUGUGAGGAUAAAAUCUGUGUGGUUUUAAACUAUUUUGUAUCUUUUGUGAGGAUCCCAUUUCUCCAUAAAUACAUGAAGAGUUCGUUAAAAUCAUCCUUGUGGUUUUCUCCUUUCUCUAAUCCAGUUAUUCCCAGGUCUUGUUUUUCAGUUCUCUCCUCAUCUCUGCAAUCCUCUCUUAACAUUUUUC